GCUUUGGCCACGUUUAAUAUGAACAACUGGAACUGUAACAUUAGAGAUACAAAAGAAAAUAUGGGAAAGUAUAAUAGGUCUCCUUUAGUGUGUGUGUGUGUGUGUGUGUGUGUGUGUGUGUGUGUGUGUUCUGUUGUGGUUGUCUAAGCUACUGGAUGCUUAAAAUUUCCCUUGGGAUGAAUAAAGUAUCUAUCCAUC